AUUGAACGCUGGCGGCAUGCCUUACACAUGCAAGUCGAACGGCAGCACGGGUGCUUGCACCUGGUGGCGAGUGGCGAACGGGUGAGUAAUACAUCGGAACGUACCUUAUCGUGGGGGAUAACGCAGCGACAGUUGCGCUAAUACCGCAUACGCACUGAGGGGGAAAGCGGGGGACCGUAAGGCCUCGCGCGAUUCGAGCGGCCGAUGUCUGAUUAGCUUGUUGGUGAGGUAAAAGCUCACCAAGGCGAUGAUCAGUAGCUGGUCUGAGAGGACGAUCAGCCACACUGGGACGGAGACACGGCCCAGACUCCUACGGGAGGCAGCAGCGGGGAAUUUUGGACAAUGGGGGCAACCCUGAUCCAGCAAUGCCGCGUGAGUGAAGAAGGCCUUCGGGUUGUAAAGCUCUUUUGUCAGGGAAGAAACAGCAGCUCUAACACAGUCUGCGAAUGACGGUACCUGAAGAAUAAGCACCGGCUAACUACGUGCCAGCCGCCGCCGUAA
rnacentral:rRNA from 1 species